GCAUGAGUAGCUCAACUGGAUAGAGCAUUGCGUUACCAACGCAAGGGCUGUGGGUUCGACUCCCGCCUCAUGCUCCA
rnacentral:tRNA from 1 species